CCUCUUUUCCUGAGCAUUCUUACAAACAUUACUAACUUGUAAGUAGCUACUACUUUUCCCCCCUAAUUUUAGUCACUCCAUCAAAUAUAAAUAGGUGACAAACGCUACGAAGCACAAUUCAGAGUCAUUUGCAAUAAAAUCCUGUCUGUACGUCAUCUCUUUUCGCAGCGACCUUUGUGAAGAACCAGUUAGGAGAAGGAGGUCUACAGUCAUCCCACUCAAUUUGUGACUCUUCUCCCAAGACAGCAGUGUAAAAGGAGUGGUAUAAAAUGUUUGAAUGCAUCCAUGGAAAUCUUCUAGACUGCUGUUCUUAGGGUUUCCUCGGCAGGUGACAUGUUCACUUUUUUUGCUAUCUUGACAUUCAUGUCAUAUGGAAAACUGAAGGAGCAGAGGGAGGCAUUUAUUUCCAGAAGAGGUCAGAGAGCAGAAUCAGGGGACAGAGACUAAAGAAGAUGCACCUGAGGAGUGUGAAGAUCCCUAAGAAACUAUCCAUGAAUUUAAAGAAAUUUAGAGCCAAGAGGGGAGAGAGAAAUGUCCACAACAAGGU